rnacentral:rRNA from 1 species
CUCUUCUUGAUAUUUAUUUGAAGUAUAACCUGCCCACUGAUUAAUAUUUAAAGGGCCGCGGUAUUUUGACCGUGCAAAGGUAGCAUAAUCAUUAGUCUUUUAAUUGGAGACUGGAAUGAAUGGUUGGACGAGGAAUAAUCUGUUUCUUGUAAAUUUAUUUUAAUUUAUAGUUUAAGUAAAAAUGCUUAAAUUUUUUUGUGGGACGAGAAGACCCUAUAGAGUUUUAUAUAUUUUUAUUUAUAAAUUUUAGUUGGUAUAUGUUUAUUAUAUUAAUAAUGUAUUUUGUUGGGGUGAUAGGAAGAAUUAAUAAACUCUUUUUUAUAUUGUUAUAUUUAUAUAUAAAUUUUUGAUCCAUUUUUGUUGAUUAUAAGACUAAAUUACC